rnacentral:lncRNA from 1 species
GCCCCUGUGCUCAGUGCGUCACCCCAGAAUCCUUUCUAUCUCGUAUUAUUCUAAGCCAUUUAUCUUGUACUCUAACCCCAUGCUAGUCUUUUUCUUAUCCAAAUGCUUGAACUCCUACAUAGAAAUUGAGACUAAAAUUAGUAUAUAAGACAAACAGAGAGAUUGACGUAGGGAUCAAAUCUCAAUACUUAGGUCUACGGUCGGGGAAGGAAGAGAUAGAAUCAUAGGUCGGGAGGCCGUC